UGGAAGACUAGUGAUUUUGUUGUUUUUGAUAUUAUGGAAAGAAACAACAAGUCCCAGUCUCCACA
rnacentral:pre_miRNA from 1 species